rnacentral:rRNA from 1 species
GUGGGUAACCUGCCUUAUAGUGGGGGAUAGCCUUUCGAAAGGAAGAUUAAUACCGCAUAAGAUUGUAGUAUCGCAUGAUAUAGCAAUUAAAGGAGCAAUUCGCUAUAAGAUGGACCCGCGUCGCAUUAGCUAGUUGGUGAGGUAAUGGCUCACCAAGGCGACGAUGUGUAGCCGACCUGAGAGGGUGAUCGGCCACAUUGGGACUGAGACACGGCCCAGACUCCUACGGGAGGCAGCAUG